rnacentral:rRNA from 1 species
UACGGGGGGGGCAAGCGUUGUUCGGAAUUACUGGGCGUAAAGGGCUCGUAGGCGGCCAACUAAGUCAGACGUGAAGUCCCUCGGCUUAACCGGGGAACUGCAUCUGAUACUGGAUGGCUUGAGUUCGGGAGAGGGAUGCGGAAUUCCAGGUGUAGCGGUGAAAUGCGUAGAUAUCUGGAGGAACACCGGUGGCGAAGGCGGCAUCCUGGACCGGCAUUGACGCUGAGGAGCGAAAGCCAGGGGAGCAAACGGG